UACGUAGGUGGCAAGCGUUACUCGGAAUUACUAGGCGUAAAGCGCAGGUAGGCGGUUGGGUAAGUCCUUAAUGAAAUCUCCCGGCUUAACUGGGAGGGGUUUAGGGAUACUGCCUGACUCGAGUGUGGGAGAGGUCACUGGAAUUCCUGGUGUAGCGGUGAAAUGCGUAGAGAUCAGGAGGAACACCUAUGGCGAAAGCAGGUGACUGGACCAAUACUGACGCUGAGCUGCGAAAGCUAGGGGAGCAAACAGG
rnacentral:rRNA from 1 species